UACGUAGGGGCAAGCGUUGUCCGGAAUCAUUGGGCGUAAAGAGCGUGUAGGCGGCCCGAUAAGUCCGCUGUGAAAGUCCCAGGGCUCAACCCUGGAAUGCCGGUGGAUACUGUCGGGCUCGAGUUCGGAAGAGGUGAGUGGAAUUCCUGGUGUAGCGGUGAAUGCGCAGAUAUCAGGAGGAACACCAGCGGCGAAGGCGGCUCAUGGCGGCGAUACUGACGCU
rnacentral:rRNA from 1 species